AUUGAACGCUGGCGGCAGGCCUAACACAUGCAAGUCGAGCGGAUGAGAGGUGCUUGCACCCCGAUUCAGCGGCGGACGGGUGAGUAAUGCCUAGGAAUCUGCCCGAUAGUGGGGGACAACGUUUCGAAAGGAACGCUAAUACCGCAUACGUCCUACGGGAGAAAGUGGGGGCUCUUCGGACCUCACGCUAUCGGAUGAGCCUAGGUCGGAUUAGCUAGUUGGUGGGGUAAAGGCUCACCAAGGCGACGAUCCGUAACUGGUCUGAGAGGAUGAUCAGUCACACUGGAACUGAGACACGGUCCAGACUCCUACGGGAGGCAGCAGUGGGGAAUAUUGGACAAUGGGCGAAAGCCUGAUCCAGCCAUGCCGCGUGUGUGAAGAAGGUCUUCGGAUUGUAAAGCACUUUAAGUCGGGAGGAAGGGCUGUAGGUUAAUACCUUGCAGCCUUGACGUUACCGACAGAAUAAGCACCGGCUAACUUCGUGCCAGCAGCCGCCGUAAGAC
rnacentral:rRNA from 1 species